AUUGAACGCUGGCGGCAGGCCUAACACAUGCAAGUCGAACGGUAACAGGAAGAAGCUUGCUUCUUUGCUGACGAGUGGCGGACGGGUGAGUAAUGUCUGGGAAACUGCCUGAUGGAGGGGGAUAACUACUGGAAACGGUAGCUAAUACCGCAUAACGUCGCAAGACCAAAGAGGGGGACCUUCGGGCCUCUUGCCAUCGGAUGUGCCCAGAUGGGAUUAGCUAGUAGGUGGGGUAACGGCUCACCUAGGCGACGAUCCCUAGCUGGUCUGAGAGGAUGACCAGCCACACUGGAACUGAGACACGGUCCAGACUCCUACGGGAGGCAGCAGUGGGGAAUAUUGCACAAUGGGCGAAAGCCUGAUGCAGCCAUGCCGCGUGUAUGAAGAAGGCCUUCGGGUUGUAAAGUACUUUCAGCGGGGAGGAAGGGAGUAAAGUUAAUACCUUUGCUCAUUGACGUUACCCGCAGAAGAAGCACCGGCUAACUCCGUG
rnacentral:rRNA from 1 species